rnacentral:lncRNA from 1 species
GAAUAAUGAAGGCAAAACUGCCUGAAAAAUGGUUCUGCUAUCCAAGGUAGCUGCGCUCUUCCUUGGAGUGAAGUGCGACGUCGCAGGACGUCGUACUUCUAGCUCGGAAACGUCCAUUUGUUAUUCGCUAUCUGACCUGCCAUGCCUAAGCUAGUAUCACUACAGUGAAUACAAACGGAUACUGAAUUAACUUCAUUUACGGCGGAUUCGAACGGAUCCUGAGUGGGAUAUAAUUACAACGGUGGAUCUGAACAGGUCACCAAGCGACCCGACUCAACCGCGACACCAAAUCAGGUCAGUUCGGACCAGUGGGGACCAGUGAGGCCUCGUCAACAAACACGCGCACUACGCAGCUAUAGGCAGGCCCACUUCUAUGUGAACCAACCACGUAAUGUUGCACAAUUGUGCCAGGUCCUUGAUAUCAGCUGGCGUGCCUUUCCGGCGAGAGUGGCGUGGCUGACCAGCAGCUGGGCGCUGUGGGCACCUUGUGUCGUAUCCUAGCUGCGUUUGAUGAAGGAUGAUUGGCGCAGUGUGUCAGGUCCGUGUGGUAGUUAGAUGCGCACCCAC